AGGCAAAUAAGCCAGCUUGUGGAAGGGGCCUCUGGGUGGCAGCUCUGGGCUUUUGGGUGUUGGACAACCAUAGGCAAAACUGAAAUGGAACAGGGGCAGAAAAUAGCACACUUUUACUCUACGCAACUGUUGCUUUUUCAUGAUCUUCAGGAAUUUUACUGGGAUAAUUAUCCAAAUAAAUUGCAAGCAUUCUAUCCAAAUGGAGCUCUUUCUGAGAUGAAGAGAAUUCUCAAUGUCAAGAUUUGAACAAGAAGAGAAUGGAAUACACAAUAUGGACAUCCAUAAAAAUUCAUCAGAGAGCAUUUUACUACUGAGCUGCAAAGGCUGGAGUGCAGUGGCACCGUCUCAGGUCACUUCAACCUCCGCCUCCUGGGCUCAAGCGAGUCUCCCGCCUCAGCCUCCUGAGUACCUGGAAUUGCAGGGAAAAACUUAAAAUGGAUAUGAAAAGUGAAGAAAGUGAUCAUAGGAGAAAACCAUUUCAGGUAAAAAUAAAAAACAAAGAGCAAAUAAGAUUUACUGUUUUUAAAGAAAAACAACAUUCUUUUGACUGUGUUUUGUUAUAAGAAUUAAUUUCAUAUUCUUUAUGAGUGUAACUGUUGAAAUUUUAUUGAUGGUUUUCAUUUGAAAAUGUGUGCUAUGACCUACCUUUGUGAAAAAUUUCUUGUGGUCAAUUGGGCAGUUUGUGUCCCAUUGAAUAUAUGUCUGUGUAUCCAUACGCUUAAGAUAGGUGCAAUACGGUUUACUAGAAAGCUUUAUAGGAAAAGAAAAAAAUUAUAUUUUCUUAUUUGUUGUACCAUAUAAAAGGAAGUGAAAUCAGGAGGAGGGGAAUA
rnacentral:lncRNA from 1 species